AUGCGUCCAACACAAAGGAAGGUAAUGCCUUAAUAGGAGGGGAAAUGGGUCAUGUCAAACUGUGUGUGUGUGUGUGUGCAUCAGGAGUGUACUAAGGAUCUCUCGUGGUGUUUUUCAUCUUGUUUUUCUUGCUUUUUUUAAACCAUGUAUUUCAACCUCUCCAAUAAUAUUACGACCCCACACUUGGAAGGCUUUUACUGUGAACCAGCUGCAGAAAGCUCCGAGUUCUAGUUUGAGUUCACAGUUGGUAAAGACUUGAUCACAGCUCUGGUCCCUGUUUAAGUGUUACGUCCGUGACGUAACGUCCUCUCUGGGUCCUACGAGAAGUUCGGUUUUUCACCACCAAACUCUGGGAUGAUCCGCGUGUUUCAGCUUCACGUUGAAAAACUCUGUCGCUUCCUUUCAAUUUCCUUUUACGCCUUUAUUUUAUCAGAAAGUCCUUUGUCAUAGCUCGGAGUCGCAGUUCUGUUUUACUUCUGAUUGUAUGACCUUGAGGUGUUUUUACUGAUCUGGAUUUUUAUGUGUUCGAUAAAUACAAAAAUACCCAUUAGUGUUACAAACACUCUGUGUUAAUGGACUUAACGGACCUUGACUUGAGAUUGUUUCCAAGGUCGAGAAUAAACUUUGAGGCUCGACUUGAGAAAUCCUUCAGCCUGCUCUGAAAAUGUGUAAAUUAGAGAAUACUGGACAAACUACCUGCUGAUGAAGAUCAAGAGAAAUGAUCGAAAGCUCCAAAACAGCUGCUGAAUGGACCUGGAGGACGCCAGCUCUAUAGGGAAAUGGUUCAGGGUGCCGCGGAGGCCUCGUGGUUAAGGAUCAUGCCAUAUGCCGUGAUCGUGAUGUCCCCGGUUCAGUUCCCAGCUUGGGGACUUCUGUUGCAUGUCCCCUCCACGGCCAACUCUCUUCCCUCAUUUCCUGUCAACUCUCUAUUGUCAGUCUUUGAAAAAUAAACGGAAAGUUCUCCAAGACAUGUUUUUAAAAGUGAAAUGAAUGGUUCCGGACUUGUGACGUUCCUGAAUCGCAUGGCACGUGCCUGGAUUGGAUGCUGUGGGACGUCGGUAAAGGCUAAAGCAGCAAAAACUCAAAUAAACAGAGAGAGAGAGAGAGAAUAAAUCUGUCAAUCGUCAUCUCUUCCGCCCCCUAAAAAAACUGAACCAGCUCAAAAGUGUGGAUGAACCGAUUUCAAGUUGUCGAGGAGACUCUUCUCAUUUCAGAUCAGUCUGUAAAUCACCUGUGAGAUGAACUGACCGCCAGCCAGGCAGCUCAUCGCCGACCAUCAGCGUUGGUCCUGAUUCCAGUCCUCUGCCUCUCUGUUUACUUAUUUGGCCUCUUCAGCAGGAGAGUUAGAAAUGUGGAUCACCUAUAAAAACUGAGCCUGAUGCGCCGACAUUCAUACCGACCUGCUGCUCUUGCCUGUUCCACACAGUUCGACCUCCCUUCAUCCUCAGCCGUUGGCUGCGUCACCUGCGAAGAGAAACACACGCGAAUCCUGGCACUUACCUGUAGAGUCUGCAGGGGAGACUUUUCAGGAACCUUUUUCAUCCCAUCUGUGACAUGUGCCUUCAAGUUACAAAUCAGUCUCUCAAAUUACUAGUUCUGAUGAAACUGCUAAUUUUGUCCUCGGUUUAGUCAUUUCACAUUACAUAAUGUGUUCCCUCUACUUUGUAAUUUGCAGUCCUGUAGUCUUGAGCACGCGGACCGUGUUCUCCGCACUUUCUACGCAUCCACGCGUUUCCGUUAAAAAACCCCGGGACUUUGAGGUGGAGUUUUUUAUGAGCGGAUUUCACGACAUCUGCGGUAGCACCAGAGGUUAGACAGCGGGACGUUCUGUAAUCCAGUGGGAAUACAGUGUCAAAGGUAACACAAAGGGCCACACGGAGACCAAAAGCCACUGUUCAAUGACGGCUCUCUGGGAGCCACCAAUCAAAAUCCAAAACACACCGUUGAUAUGCGUCAAUUCUAUCCGUGGAUCGGAGCACACGUUGCACACGAGACGUUCAGAGGCUGAACUGACAGGACACUGUUUAUUUUUUUUUUAAUUUUAAUUGUAUUUUGUAAGUUGUGAUGCUUCCAUUGAUCAGUAGUUGCUCUCAGGGGAACUCGGGUGUCUCGGGAGAACUGCCGCCCCGGGUGCGUGGAUCCUGAUGGGGCGUCCGCGUUGUGUUGGAGUAAAUCCAGGAGCCUCUGUCACAGGUGAAGAAUAGGAAGGGUCCACCUCACCGCAUCACCGGGACAGGUCCCAACACGUCGGCUGCACGCUGGAUGACUGACGUCCACAGCGUAACACA